UGCCAGCCGCCGCGGUAACACGAACCGUCCAAACGUUAUUCGGUAUCACUGGGCUUAAAGCGCACGUAGGCGGUUAGUUAAGUCUGGUGUUAAAUACCGUGGCCCAACCACGGAGCUGCAUCAGAUACUGGCUAACUUGAGUGCGGUAGAGGCGAGUGGAAUUCCCAGUGUAGCGGUGAAAUGCGUAGAUAUUGGGAAGAACACCAGUGGCGUAAGCGACUCGCUGGGCCGUAACUGACGCUGAGGAACGAAAGCCAGGGGAGCGAAUGGGAUUAGAUA
rnacentral:rRNA from 1 species